UACGUAAGGGUGCUAGCGUUGUUCGGAAUUAUUGGGCGUAAAGAGCUUGUAGGCGGUUUGUCGCGUCUGCUGUGAAAUCUCAAGGCUCAACCUUGAGCUUGCAGUGGGUACGGGCAGACUAGAGUGCGGUAGGGGUGACUGGAAUUCCUGGUGUAGCGGUGGAAUGCGCAGAUAUCAGGAGGAACACCGAUGGCGAAGGCAGGUCACUGGGCCGCAACUGACGCUGGAGGAGCGGAAAGCAUGGGGAGCGAACAGG
rnacentral:rRNA from 1 species